UUAAAUAUAUCAAAUAUAUUUAAAAAAUAAAAAUUCAAUUAAAUUCAUAAAUUUUUUGAAUCAAAUAUUAAAAUACUCAAACUUUUAUUUUUCAAAUAGCUCAAAUUCAAAUUUAGCUCCAAUAAUAAAUGAAUCAAACUUAAAUACUCACCAAAUCAAAUUAAAAAAUAAUUCACGAAUAACCUAACUCCUUUACACCGCUAGAUAAGACUAUGUCAGUUGGGUUUUUCAAGCUUGGAUAACUAUUACCUUAUUCUACUCUUGAAAUGCAUAAUUAUCUUUAAAAGAAAGUUAUGGUGAAGUUCGCAUUGUGUUAUUUGAACUUCAGAUUAAAGGUUAGCUUUAAUUUGCUUACUUUUUCAAUAUAUAAUCCCAAAAAAGUUUAGAUGAGAUUAAGAUUGAUCAAAGUUAAUUAUGCUAUGAAACAAGGUUGAGUUAGGC
rnacentral:lncRNA from 1 species